ACUAGGGAGAGCGACGGGCGAUGUGUACACAUCCCAGGGCUUUUUUCAGCAUAACUUUCUAAUUUAUGCUUACUACCAAAUCCACCUUGAAAAUUGAUUUACAUUCAUUUUCCGUAUAAUUAAAAAUUAUUGUAACCCACCUCCACUUUCUUAUAAGCUGCACCUUGACCUGAAGUCUUUAAACAUCUUAGUUUAGAUAAUAUUUUUUAAAAAUUAUCUGGCAACGGCGGUAUACAGGCUUAAUAAAAGAAAGUAAGGUUAAACGUGGAUUAUCGAUUACGGGGCAGGUUCCUCUGGAAAGGUGGGAUGCCGUCAAAUUCUUUGGGUUUGAAGAUUUUCUUUUACUACCCUGGCAAGU
rnacentral:rRNA from 1 species